UACGUAGGGGGCAAGCGUUGUCCGGAUUUAUUGGGCGUAAAGAGCUCGUAGGUGGUUCGGUAAGUCGGAUGUGAAAUCUCCAGGCUCAACCUGGAGGGGUCAUUCGAUACUGCCGUGACUAGAGGUCGGUAGGGGAGUGUGGAAUUCCUGGUGGAGCGGUGAAAUGCGUAGAGAUCGGAAAGAACACCAACGGCGAAAGCACUCUGCUGGGCCGACACUUACACUGAGAGACGAAAGCUAGGGGAGCGAAUGGG
rnacentral:rRNA from 1 species